rnacentral:rRNA from 1 species
UGCGUAGGUGGCGCUGUAAGUCAGGUGUGAAAUUUCGGAGCUUAACUCCGAAACUGCAUUUGAUACUGCGGUGCUUGAGGACUGGAGAGGAGACUGGAAUUUACGGUGUAGCAGUGAAAUGCGUAGAGAUCGUAAGGAAGACCAGUGGCGAAGGCGGGUCUCUGGACAGUUCCUGACACUGAGGCACCAAAGGGGCCCAGGGGAAGGCAAAACGG